UACGUAGGAGACGAGCGUUGUCCGGAGUUACUGGGCGUAAAGGGUGCGCAGGCGGCCUGGCGCGUCGCGAGUGAAAUCUCCUGGCUCAACUGGGAGGGUGGUCGCGAGACGGCUGGGCUUGAGGCUCGGUGAGGGGCGUGGAAUUCCGGGUGGAGCGGUGAAAUGCGCAGAUAUCAGGAGGAACACCGGUGGCGAAGGCGGGUCUCUGGGCAGUAACUGACGCUGAGGAGCGAAAGCGUGGGGAGCGAACAGG
rnacentral:rRNA from 1 species